rnacentral:rRNA from 1 species
CCUACGGGAGGCAGCAGUGGGGAAUAUUGGACAAUGGGCCACAAGCCUGAUCCAGCAAUUCUGUGUGCACGAUGAAGGUCUUCGGAUCGUAAAGUGCUUUCAGUAGGGAAGAAAAAAAUGACGGUACCUACAGAAGAAGCGACGGCUAAAUACGUGCCAGCAGCCGCGGUAAUACGUAUGUCGCAAGCGUUAUCCGGAAUUAUUGGGCGUAAAGCGCGUCUAGGCGGUCUUUUAAGUCUGAUGUUAAAAUGCGGGGCUCAACUCCGUAUUGCGUUGGAAACUGGAAGACUAGAGUACCAGAGAGGUGGGCGGAACUACAAGUGUAGAGGUGAAAUUCGUAGAUAUUUGUAGGAAUGCCGAUUGGGAAGCCAGCUCACUGGAUGAAUACUGACGCUGAAGCGCGAAAGCGUGGGGAGCAAACGGGAUUAGAUACCCCGGUAGUCCACGCCGUAAACGAUGAUCACUAAGCGUGGGGGGUCGAACCUCCGUGCUCAAGCUAACGCGAUAAGUGAUCCGCCUGGGGAGUACGCACGCAAGUGUGAAACUCAAAGGAAUUGACGG